GCGCGGACGGAGUGCUCCCACUCCGCGUCCGGCGACAGCAGCGCCGCCGCACCGAGGGCGUCACCGUCGGCCAGCACCCCCAGCACCGUCUCGUCGCCGUACUUGCCGGUGCCCCUGCGGUCGAGCUUGCCGUGCGCGAUCAGGAUGACCCGGUCGGCCUGCCCGCCCUGCCGGGCCAGCACAUCACCCGGUGCGAACUCCCGCUGGACGAACCGGUCCGCCAGCGCCUCCAGCGUCGCCGCGUCGGUGUAGCCGCGCAGCGGGGCCAGCUCGCGCAACUCCGCCGGAAUGACCCGGACGUCGGAACCGGUCGAGACGAACUCCACCCGGCCGUCACCGAGGGUGUGGGUCAGCCGCCGGUUGACGCGGUACGUACCGCCGGAGACCUGCGUCCAGGGCAGGAUCCGCAGCAGCCAGCGGGAGGAGAUCCCCUGCAUCUGCGGCACGGUCUUGGUCGUGGUCGCCAGCUUGCGGGCGGCCGCGGUGUCCAGGCUGGACCGGCUCCGCUCGG
rfam:Streptomyces auratus AGR0001 genomic scaffold Scaffold1, whole genome shotgun sequence.